rnacentral:rRNA from 1 species
GACGAACGCUGGCGGCGUGCUUAACACAUGCAAGUCGUACGGUAAGGCCCUUUCGGGGGUACACGAGUGGCGAACGGGUGAGUAACACGUGCGUAACCUGCCCACAACUUUGGGAUAACGCUAGGAAACUGGUGCUAAUACUGGAUAUGUGCUCCUGCUGCAUGGUGGGGGUUGGAAAGCUCCGGCGGUUGUGGAUGGACUCGCGGCCUAUCAGCUUGUUGGUGGGGUAGUGGCCUACCAAGGCGGCGACGGGUAGCCGGCCUGGGAGGGUGACCGGCCACAUUGGGACUGAGAUACGGCCCAGACUCCUACGGGAGGCAGCAGGGGGGAAUAUUGCACAAUGGGCGCAAGCCUGAUGCAGCAACGCCGCGUGCGGGAUGACGGGCUUCGGGGUGUAAACCGCUUUCAGCAGGGACGAAGCUUUUUGUGACGGUACCUGCAGAAGAAGCACCGGCUAACUACGUG